rnacentral:sRNA from 1 species
CUUGUGCAGCUAUACUCCAGAGGAACUUUGAAAAAGAAAUGACAAGCAAUGAAGAAUCACAACUGAUUGAACAAUCAGUGUGGGCUGAACUUUUCUGAGAAACUUAUGUUUUUCACCUUGUACUUUCUUGCUCAUGUUUUAGUAGAAGUGAGGAGUGACUAGUUUUAGAUUCUUAAAUGUCACUGCUCCCCUCUUCCUCUCCUUUCUCUGUCCCCACAGGCUGCCUGGGGAGGUGGGCUGCUUAUGUCCCGGAAGCACCGCCAUAAACUCAAUGGCAUAGAAAGGGCCAACUCAGUCACCUGGAACCCUCACAAGAUGAUGGGCGUGCUGUUGCAGUGCUCUGCCAUUCUCGUCAAGGAAAAGGGUAUACUCCAAGGAUGCAACCAGAUGUGUGCAGGAUACCUCUUCCAGCCAGACAAGCAGUAUGAUGUCUCCUAUGACACCGGGGACAAGGCAAUUCAGUGUGGCCGCCACGUGGAUAUCUUCAAGUUCUGGCUGAUGUGGAAAGCAAAGGGCACAGUGGGAUUUGAAAACCAGAUCAACAAAUGCCUGGAACUGGCUGAAUACCUCUAUGCCAAGAUUAAAAACAGAGAAGAAUUUGAGAUGGUUUUCAAUGGCGAGCCUGAGCACACAAACGUCUGUUUUUGGUAUAUUCCACAAAGCCUCAGGGGUGUGCCAGACAGCCCUCAACGACGGGAAAAGCUACACAAGGUGGCUCCAAAAAUCAAAGCCCUGAUGAUGGAGUCAGGCACGACCAUGGUUGGCUACCAGCCCCAGGGGGACAAGGCCAACUUCUUCCGGAUGGUCAUCUCCAACCCAGCCGCUACCCAGUCUGACAUUGACUUCCUCAUUGAGGAGAUAGAAAGACUGGGCCAGGAUCUGUAAUCAUCCUUUGCAGAACAUGAGUUUAUGGGAAUGCCUUUUCCCUCUGGCACUGCAGAACAAACCUCUAUAUGUUGCUGAAACACAUAGGCCAUUUCAUUGAGGGAAAACAUAAUAUCUUGAAGAAUAUUGUUAAAACCUUACUUAAAGCUUGUUUGUUAUAGUUAGCAGGAAAUAGUGUUCUUUUUAAAAAGUUGCACAUUAGGAACAGAGUAUAUAUGUACAGUUAUACAUACCUCUCUCUAUAUAUACAUGUAUAGUGAGUGUGGCUUAGUAAUAGAUCACAGCAUGUUUCCCGCUCCAAGAGAAUUCACUUUACCUUCAGCAGUUACCGAGGAGCUAAACAUGCUGCCAACCAGCUUGUCCAACAACUC